rnacentral:rRNA from 1 species
AUUGAACGCUGGCGGCAGGCUUAACACAUGCAAGUCGAACGAGUGGCGGACGGGUGAGUAAUGUCUGGGAAACUGCCCGAUGGAGGGGGAUAACCACUGGAAACGGUAGCUAAUAACGCAUACCAUCGUAAUUGCCCAGAUGGGAUUAGCUAGUAGGCGGGGUAAUGGCUCACCUAGGCGACGAUCCCUAGCUGGUCUGAGAGGAUGACCAGCCAAACUGGAACUGAGACACGGUCCAGACUCCUACGGGAGGCAGCAGUGGGGAAUAUUGCACAAUGGGCGCAAGCCUUAUGCAGCCAUGCCGCGUGUAUGAAGAAGGCCUUCGGGUUGUAAAGUACUUUCAGCGAGGAGGCGUUACUCGCAGAAGAAGCACCGGCUAACUCCGUGCCAGCAGCCGCGGUAAUUC